rnacentral:rRNA from 1 species
UACGUAGGUGGCGAGCGUUGUCCGGAUUUACUGGGCGUAAAGAGCGCGCAGGCGGUCGUUCAAGUCGCGUGUGAAAGCCCCCGGCUCAACUGGGGAGGGUCACGCGAUACUGAUCGACUCGAAGGCAGGAGAGGGAAGUGGAAUUCCCGGUGUAGUGGUGAAAUGCGUAGAUAUCGGGAGGAACACCAGUGGCGAAGGCGACUUCCUGGCCUGUUCUUGACGCUGAGGCGCGAAAGCGUGGGGAGCGAACAGG